CAUAUUCGAGUAACUUUGCUUCAUGAUCAAACAUUGCAAAGAAUGCUACUCACUGGAUUUGGAAAAGUAGUUUUUGGAUCUACUUCUUGUACUCUUCGUAGGUUUGAGAAUUGAAAUCUCAGGAAGUAACUUCCAAGACGAUGCCCUCUACCACAUCACAUUUCCAGAUUACAGUGAUCAUCUACCUGUUGCAGAGACACGAAAUUAUAUCUGGUAGAACACAAACGGAAAAGCCUUUGCAAGACAUGUUAGUUAAAUUCUCAUUUGAAGAAAAAAGCUUAUAUUUCUCGGCAUACAUACUACUGAGCUGGUGUUAAGUGAACAAAAUUGAGAUCUCAUGUCCUGGCAAUAAACCAACUCUUGUUAGCUAAGGAUGUGCUGCUUAGUCUUUGCAUUUCAAUGUCUGUUAAAAAGUGACCAUGUGGGCCGGGCGUGGUGCUCACGCCUGUAAUCCCAGCACUUUGGGAGGCCAAGGCGGGCAGAUCACGAGGUCAGGAGAUGGAGACCAUCCUGGCUAACACGGCGAAACUCCGUCUCUACUAAAAAUACAAAAAUCAUCCUGGCGUGGUGGUGGGCGCCUGUAGUCCCAGCUACUCGGGAGGCUGAGGCAGGAGAAUGGCGUGAACCCGAGAGGUGGAGCUUGCAGUGAGCUGAGACUGCGCCACUGCACUCCAGCCUGGGCAACAGAGCGAGACUCUGUCUCAAAAAAUAUAUAAAAAUAAAAAAGUGACCACGUGGCCAGUCAUGGUGGCUUGUGCUUGUAAUUCAAUGGCUCGUGCUUGUAAUCCAAGCACCACUAGACAGAUAGGUUGCUUUAGCUCAGGACUUAGAGGCCAGCCUGGGCAACUGUGAAACUCUGUCUCUACAAAAAUUAUACAAAAGCCAAGAAUGAGAGAAAAGACUUAAUAUUUAAUAGUGAUUAUUAGAUGUAAAAUUAUUUUACCUCAUUUAAUAUAUAUUAAAUCACUUGCAAACAUAGUAAACAUAUAUUUAAAUGGUUUAUUUAAUGUUCGACUUCAUCAAACCUAAAUAUUUUUAUUAUUUUUGAGUUUAGAUGUAAAUAAGUAUUUUGGCAAUCAUUGAGACCAUGAAGUGCAAUGCAGCAGGCAAUGGGUAAAUUAGUUCAAAUCUACUUAUGGAUUUAUUUCCAAACCUUUGAUCUGCUCUCCUGCGGAAAUUUUUUUCUAUUCAAAAGACUCUAGAUUGAAUCCAUGAAUAAGAAUUCUUAUCUUUUAAAACUUCACAUAAUUUUAUUUAGAAAAGUUAUAUAUGUAUAUAUGUGUAUAUAUAUAUGUGUGUAUGUAUGUAUGUAAAUGCUGAAUAUUUACAGAUUGUUGGGUCCAAUUUGUUAGCAGUCCAUCUAAAACUAUCAUUCUAUUCUUUGGGAUUAGAAUUUGAAAAUCAUUUCUUCAGCAGUGAUUUACACUUGUUAUUUACUUCCCUUCGGAUGCCAGAGUGAAAAAUAAAACACACAGACAAAAAUACAGGCACACCUAUUUUGGGCACCAAGCUAUGUGAGAGUAGAUUAAUGGUUAGAAAUUUACAAGAAAAAAGGAAAACCCAAAAACCAAAAGACAGCAACAAACAAUACUCCUGUUCAGUGCAAAGGCCAAAACAGGUGUUUGUCCACAUUUUGUAAUUGAAAAUAGCAUUCUAUUGUCUAGUGUUGCCAGUGAUCCAUAUUUAUAGUUACUUUUUUUAGGUGUCUAGUCUAAUUUGAAUGUUGAAAAUAUAUAUUCUUUUAAUUUCAAUAUAAGUUAAAUUUACAGAAAAGUUGCAAAAGUAGCACAGAGUUUCUAUAUACCCUUCUUCAGUUUUACUUAUUGCUCAUUGUUAAAAACUUACAUUAUUAUAUGCCUUUGUUAAAAUAAUUAAACUGAUAUCCUACAUUACUGUUAAAUAAAAUUCAGACAUUAUGUGGAUUUCAUUAGUUUUUCCAUCGAGGUCUUCUUUCUAUUCCAGCAUUCUAUCCAGGCAACCAUACUAUAUUUUGCUACCAUUUUUUUUUUUUCUAGUCUUAACUGGUCUAUAACGGUUUCUCAUUCUUUUCUUUUUUUUUUAUCAUAACCUUGGUAGGCUGGUAGUCAUGGAAAGUACUGGUCAGGUAUUCUGUGGAAUGAUUGCUCAUCUCGUGACUAGAUUGCACUUAUACAAAAUAAGUGAAGUGAUCUUCUUGUCACAUCAUAUCAGGAGACACAUGAUGUUAUUGGUGACAUUAACUGUUAUCAUUCAGUGACGGUAGUGUUUUCCACUUUUGUCUUCUGUAAAUUUACUUUGUUUUCUUUCCCUAUUCUAUUUUUGGAAAGAAAAUCACUAAAACUAACUCAUUGUCAAGGGCAUGGGGGACAAGAUUUAAGCUCCAUCUCCCCAUGUCAUUUGGAAUUCUUCUGGAAAAAAGGUUUAUCCAAUAUCGAAAACUUUUCAUGUUCAAAAUUUAUGAUGGAUAUUUUUCCAUAAAGAUAUUUUAUUUGAGUGAAAUUGUUCAAUGCCACUACUCUUUAUAUUUGUUUCAUUCCUAUUAUAAUUUCUGUAACUUUGCUUUUCUUUACAUUUUACAACUGAUUUAUAGUAAUAUUGUUUUGCUUUGUUUUUCAUCUUAUCAUACUCUGGCUUUCGGUAAAUUUUCAGCUGCUAGCAACUUUUUACCAGAGCUCUUAUAAUAUUAUGGUUUUAAUUUUGUUUUCAUUUUAAAGAAUCUAUUGAAAAAAGAGAGAUAUCAGUAAACUAUAUUUAUCUAAUACAUUUAACAUUUUAUACUUCUGAACAUACGUAUUCAUAACAGAUAUCACAGACACAAAUACCUACAAAAUCAGCCAACUUAACAAAAUCAGUGAAAGAUGCUUAUUGUGGACUAUGGCAUCUAAAAACAGGUCUUUCCAUAUCAUUUCCAGGGUCUAGGUCAAGAUUACAAGUUGAAUUCCACAAAACAUAUGUUUGUUUGAUUAUUUACAAUUGUAAAAUAAAUUAAAAAUGAAAAUAAUUUAAGGCUUUAAAAUUUAAGAAAUACAUUGUAUUUUUUCUACUUUGCAAAUAAACCUUUAUAAAAACUCAGAAAGUCUUAGAUGUAUUAAGCUUUUGGGGUUUCAGAUUUUACCUGAUCGUGUAAUCGAUGAGGCUAAGUAUUGGAAACUAGCAUUCAACCUGCUUCUUAAGCUCUUUUCUCUUUCAACAAUGAUUAUUUUUUU
rnacentral:lncRNA from 10 species